AUGUUUUUUCUCACUGGCGGCAAUGGGAAUAUCGCCGAGCGCGUGAUGAGACCUAACUUUUGGAUGGUAUUGUCGCGAGUGUACUACCUUAAUAAUCCGAUGCAAAUAAGCAUCUCAAAACACUGGGAAGAAAUUAUUAUGGCAAAUAUUAUCUCAUUGUCAGUCAGGGUUUAAACCUGAGACCUUUUGACUUUCCGGAACUGGCGUCUUUACCAAUUCGACCACUGAGGCAUGUGAUAAUAUUUAUCGCAAUAACUGAUAUAUAUUGAAGAAAAACCUAUUCUAGAGGAUUUCACAAUAAUUUCAGAAACUGUAUUAAAUAUUUCAUCUAUACUAAUAUCCUCUUUCAUCGUGGACAUUGAUCGUGCACCGCCUGUUCCGCAGCAAAAUUAAUGACAGUCUUCUUACACGUAUAGUCAGCAGCUAAAAAGUUGCAACACUUUUUUUUAUGGGUUUUGAAACGCGCAAAAUUUUUCAAAAUGCGAAUCACUGUCUCGAGAGCGGUUAGGAUAGCUGUCAAAAGUGAUACAGAAUUCAAACAUACAAAAUGUGAAAUUAAGAAAUCCGGUUUAUCGCGAAAAUCUUAAGAUACCGGUGAAUAAUACUAUAAAAUUAGAUCUUCUCUUACCGUGGAUAAAUUUGCUUGGAAAUAGAAAACUAUAUUAUAUGGAAUACUAAAGAAAACUAUAUUAUAUGGGCAUACUAAUGAGCGUUGAAGAUAAUAGCCUGUAUUACAUUCACAAGAAUUGGACCACUUUGUAAAAAUUGUAAGAAGAUGAUAUCUUUCACUCUGCUAUCUAAAUAAAGUAUAUACUACAAAUUUUCUUUUCGAUUUGAGAAAUGUAAGGUAAUGUUAUGGAAUGGAUUCUUCUUCAUGAUGGUUGAACGAGUUAUUAUACAUCCCGUGGGAUCCAGAUCCUCCAAUAAUUGCAGAUUUUGGAUGUGGGUAUCUAUACUAAAUAAAUAUUUUUAAAUACUACAGAGAAAAUGUGUAUCCCGGGGACAGCGAGAUAUGACACGAGCGACGGUCCUCCUGGGCCAGCGAGCCGACGAGGAUAGCGAGCCUGAACAGAGGACGUGUCAAAUUGCCACGCUGUCUUAGUCCUUUGCGACUGGACCUCAACUCGAUCUAGUCACGUGUCAAAGAGAGUCAAUUGACCACUCGGAUUUUGCUUACGGCGAGAAUUGUGUAAAUUGAGAAAAUGUCGGAGAAAUCAUCCGUGGCAUAUUUGGUAAAUCUAAGAAUAAAGACAAAACGAGAAAGUUUUGAUUUAUUGAUUUACAAAUCUGCAAAAGGAGAAAAACGACGCGAAAUAAUCGCAUCGUUGUGCGUGCGCGUGAAGGAAUGAAUGUACGCGAAUAUUUUUCUUAGACAGACACUUGUUAGUUACAUAUAAUUUUCUAUACGUCUUUUAGGAAAUCAUAGCUAUAAAUGUAUAAUAUAUAAUUGCAUAACGUUCAAAGAACAGCCAUAAAGUUUUGAUUAUAAAGCGAUCACUCGAUAAGCUAUAUUGAAUUGUCAAUAGCUUAUCGAAUAUAUAAAAUUGCUAAUAAAUAUUUUCUAAAGGCA